GACGAACGCUGGCGGCGUGCCUAAUACAUGCAAGUAGAACGCUGAAGGAGGAGCUUGCUUCUCUGGAUGAGUUGCGAACGGGUGAGUAACGCGUAGGUAACCUGCCUAGUAGCGGGGGAUAACUAUUGGAAACGAUAGCUAAUACCGCAUAACAGUAGAUAUCGCAUGAUAUCUACUUGAAAGGUGCAAUUGCAUCACUACCAGAUGGACCUGCGUUGUAUUAGCUAGUUGGUGAGGUAACGGCUCACCAAGGCGACGAUACAUAGCCGACCUGAGAGGGUGAUCGGCCACACUGGGACUGAGACACGGCCCAGACUCCUACGGGAGGCAGCAGUAGGGAAUCUUCGGCAAUGGACGGAAGUCUGACCGAGCAACGCCGCGUGAGUGAAGAAGGUUUUCGGAUCGUAAAGCUCUGUUGUAAGAGAAGAACGAGUGUGAGAGUGGAAAGUUCACACUGUGACGGUAUCUGACCAGAAAGGGACGGCUAACUACGUG
rnacentral:rRNA from 1 species